CACAAGCUCUUCCCUUCUGACUCAUGCCUAUUAAGGCUCUCAUCUACAAUCAAGACCUCAGUCCCUACUGCUCGGUACUGAUCUCUAAUUCCAUAGCAACGGGAGCAUGCAUUCCACACAGAUUCGUUGCGAAGGAAGCCAUUUUGCAAAUUACUUGUGGUAAAAUGAAGGUGAUGCCACUUGACUGACAUCACUGUCACCCGUGGAGCCAGCAAGCCUUUGCUGAAAUACCCCAGGAUUCAUCUGAGGAAAUGGAUGGCUCGCCGGGAUCUGUUUCCCUCCGCUGUAGAAAGCUGUAGGAGGAAUGGAAAACAACACAUUCCUAAUUCUGCAGUGAGAAAGGUACAUAUGGGAACGCACUUAGCCUGAAAGCAGGCUUCACUCUUCAUUUCCUUGAGGGCUGUUGUCUGUCUGUUUCCCACUUUUAACCAACACCCUUGUUGACAAUUUACAAACAAAUCAUUUUGCCUAACUUUCUUCCCUUUAAUUGCAGUCAAAAUAAUUACUGGGAACAAUAACCAUGUUGCUGUGUAUACAAGUUAAAAAUAUAACAGAAGCUUUCGACAGACAUUGAGUAAGAACCGGAGCGAGAAGGGGAUGCCACGUGGUGGCAGAACAUUUAGCUAGCAUGCAUGGGAUCCAGGGCUCAACACCCAAGCACUGCAAUGACCACAAUAUUGGGAAACAUAAUCACAAAAUAGUGUGACGUUUUUGUCCUCUGCUUGCGUCUUGGUAAAAACACAAGCUGACCCUAUAGUUUUUGUGGCCACUCAUAGUGAAUGCAGUACCUUCAACGCAGAAACCUAAAACGGCAGCUCCCUCAUGAGUCUAGAUGGGCACAGGCUAUAUGGUCACACCACCCAUCUCUCCUCUCUCAGGAGACCCAGCCCAGGCAGGACUCCAGCCUGAAGAAAGGCCAAUAUCAGCAUCUCUCCUUUCAUCAGCUGACCCUUCUCCUAGCCUCUGCCAGUGUCCCAUCCCCUCUUGGUGUUGAGCGCUUUCUCCAGCAUAGAAGAGAGGGAGGGGAAGGCAGGAAGGUGGGCAAGAAACUUUGCUUGAAGAAGAAACUACAGAUUGGCUUCAUUCUCUUGGGCUGGCCAUGGCACAAAGCCAACGGUUUCUCUUGCUUCCUCUUCAAUGGAUAUGUUUGCCAUCCUCCUCAUUGGUGCAGAUCUUUUCCCAGCAGUCCUCUGGACACAUAUCCAUAUCCAUUGCUGUUCAUUUUAACAAGGUCUUACUGUGUAGCCCUGGCUGGCCUGGAACUCACUAUGUAGAGCAGACUGGCUUUGAACUCAGAGAGGGUGCCUGCCUCUGAGAUUAAAGCUGUGCCUUGCAUGUGUUUUUCAAGGCUCCUAGUCACACCUUCAUUUUUUUUUUCUGUUGAGCUAUCUAGCCCCUCCAGAUACCUCCUUGCUCAAGACCUGAAGUGACUCAUCUUACAGCCAGAUGUCAUCCAGAAGACUCAUGACCAAUUCUGAGAAACCUGAUCCAUGCCAUGCAGCUCUCCAGGACACCACUGCCCAGCCAGUCUCUGGAAAGUGCCAGCCUUCAGUGCAUGCUCAGCUAUAUCUGAGAGGUACAUAUUAGGAUCCUCCUGAGAACCCUCUUGCAAUGCCUGAAGACCAGGCAGCCUUAAUCUUCCCCUUCCCUGGUGGGUGUGGGAGAUAUGCAGUACACUGCAGUUCUUUCUAUAAAAACCUUGCCACUGUGGACUGCCUACAUCUUAUGCCUUCCAUGUGGUGUGACAUUCAGAAGUCAUCUAACUAGUCACAAAUCUCACAGCAGAGUAUAGUGGCUCUUAAAACUUUAGUACUUCAGACACAAAUUUCACUUAACGCCCUGUUCUGCCAAGUAAACAGCAAGGCCACUGGGUCUUCCUAGUCAAGGCGACUGGGCAAACUGCAUAAGAAAAGGAAUGCGUGAGAUAUUCCCCAAGCAGGAACUGGCCUGCACAACAAUAGUUCAAAGAAAAGUGUCCUCCCUGUCAAGGAAGAAGCAAGGUCACACAAACAAAGGAGCUUUCACAGUAGAUGUGAGACGUGGGAGGAAAACCUCUCACCAUAGUGGAAUAUGAAGAUGAAUAAACAAAUGAUAAAUAAGC